CAGCAGCCACGGUAAUACGUAGGUGGCAAGCGUUGUCCGGAAUUAUUGGGCGUAAAGGGCUCGCAGGCGGUUUCUUAAGUCUGAUGUGAAAGCCCCCGGCUCAACCGGGGAGGGUCAUUGGAAACUGGGAAACUUGAGUGCAGAAGAGGAGAGUGGAAUUCCACGUGUAGCGGUGAAAUGCGUAGAGAUGUGGAGGAACACCAGUGGCGAAGGCGACUCUCUGGUCUGUAACUGACGCUGAGGAGCGAAAGCGUGGGAAGCGAACAGGAUUAGAUACCCGUGUAGUCCCUGUCUCUUAUAC
rnacentral:rRNA from 1 species